GUUGAUUCGUCGAUUCAAACGUUCCGCGAAAAAUGUUGACGUUGGAGAGAUUUAAAUUUGAUCUGAGAUUGUGUAGCCUUGGUUUAGAAGAAUGGACGAGUAACUGUAACACUUACGGAGUUCCUUCUCGUGCAGUUAGAAGAAAAUGAAGAAGGCAUCGGACAUUUCGGAAGAAAAGACGAUAUCUCAGACUUUGAUAUCAUAAAACAGGUGGUACGUUGGAAAAAAUCAUCCCGGAGGCAUGAACACAUCAAAUCAAUCAGAUUUUGAGACCUGCUUUUUAUGGAAUGAAACAGUAUUAUGGUUGCACAAAAUUUAAAAAAAAAAUAUAUUUGUGGUUAUGUGAACGAACCUCAAUCGUACAAAGUCUACAAAAAGCAGCAAGAUAUCAUCAUGAUUCCUAUUUGUACCAUUCAACUUGCAGGACAAACAGGAAAAGACAACCAGCCUUUGUGAGAACUGUCUUAUAAAGAGACAUUUGGAGUGAUUCUUUUAUGAAAUUAAGAUUAAAAAAAAAUAUUAGAAAUUAAAAUGUGCAAACAGGAAGAACAUCAACAUUAAACUGAUGAAUAGUAAAUAAAAUUUUAUUACAGAUA